GUGAAUUGAAAAAAAGCUAAAUGGGGAAUGGGAGGAAAAACAGAACUGAAUGCCAAGGAGCGCUGGGAGGAGAAAUGCAAACAGAUGCCAUUUUUAAGAGAGGCUGUACAGAUGAAGCUGCCUUGGAAAUUCGGCUGAAUUGUGUUUGUGGCAGAAGAAUAUAAAAACCAGAGACUCAUUUGUCCAAGACACAAGGAGGGGAAAGACACUUGUGUGGUCUCUGCCUCCUACUAGAAGACAAUACAGUGACAACAUUGGCAACUUGCUUUCAGCUCAGCCUGUUCAACAAUGGAGGUCUGUGGAACUGGAUGUUGCUGCCCACUUCCAGUCCUGAGAAGGGUUAUGCUGUUUCUCCUGUAUUCAUUAUUGGCACCUCCAGUAAAAUCCAGAAGCUUUAAACCAUCAGAGGAGACUCCUUGAGAACAACAAGAACAAGUACAUAUUCCAGUGUCCCAAGGAUGAGAAUCUACUUCACAGAAAGAAGCAGCAAAUUAGACAAGUUUAUCAGUGAUGGGGAAGUGUUAGUCUCCUGAGGCACCUGAAUACCAAGACACUUGGGAUUAUCAAUGCCUUUGUAUUCCUGAGAUGACAAGCUUAUGAAUAUAUCAGUCAAGAGUCUGAGGAUAAAAUGACAAAUAUGCAAAAUCUACUUAACCCCUUGUUUUAAAUUAGGCUUCCUUCAGGCGGUUCCACGUUGUCAGAAAGGUAAGUGACAAAAUGAAUCAAUUACAAUGACCACCAGCUUUCAGGUAAAACAAAACACAGAAGACUAUUUUAUACAUUGAAGUGUGUUUAUCCUCCAGCACGCAUUUCCAAAGGUUUUAUAUAAAUUUCAAAACACACAGCUCUUUAGAUGCAUGAACUACUUAGGAGGCCAAUUAAAAACCCAUUAAUUUGAGAAGAAUAAAAUAAAAACAGUCAACUCACAUCAUGCUCACUCCACC